AAUAUAUAUGCAAAACAUUAGUGUGAUGUUAAACAGUCACCAUGAUGACAUGCAUUUGAAAGGGCUAUGAGCAACCCAGGUAUGAAUAGUACAGGGGACUGGCAAGAAGUCACAGAGCUCUUCAUGGAUUUGAUCCAGAAGAAGGUGGAAGUGAGUACAAGUCAUUACAGUCUGGUACCCGUGAGCCUGUGGGUACCACUGCAGGCCCUGGAUCGCAGUGCAAGACACCAGCGAUGGCCAGCACUGAUGCUUCCCUUCUCCAGCCAGCAGCAGCCGGCUCUGUCUCUGUGUUCUCUUUUCCAGCCACCACACUAAUUCUUUCAUGCCCCAUGUUCUGAGGAUUUGGAGACAGAAGCAGGAAAAAGGAAUGCAGUCAUACACCUUGCUCGCACAGUAAAUGGUGGAUUUUAACUUUUCAGUUGGAGGAAUAAUGGGCUAGUGUUAGAAUGCUGGUGCAGUUAGGUAUGUGCAUGCAGACACAGCUGGAGAAAAGCUUUGGGCAUGGAUGCAAAGUCCAGGCCAACUUUGUAAAGAUGUACGCACGCCCUUAACUUUAAAUGUAUAAAUUUUCCCACUGACCUCCCUGGAACUAUUCAUGCCUUAAACAUAUGCAUGAGCUUUUCUAGAAAUAGAUAAUAUAAAUGGGACUACCAAAAUAGUUAACCAGAAAUACUUUCUGUACAAGGAAAUAGGAAAAUUUACAACGGGUGUGUGAAUAUGAGCGCCUAGUGAUCCCUCUUGACAGACGGGACUAAAUAAAAUCUAGGCCCCAUUGUUAAAGGUCAAGGCAUUGUUGCUCAUGUAUGAGCGGGUGUUUCCAGCUACCCAUCGUGCAGACUGGAGUGUAGUUUGCAUUCAUUAUGUUAAUUAAACAAUUUGCUGGAAUGUGGUGGAUUGGCAGUAGGCAACUUUGACUUGGGCUCUGCAGGCUGAGAUCUUUUAAUUAGAUGGACGACCCUGAGUCAUGCCAAGAGAGCAGCACCUGUGAUAUUGCGCUGCUGUUGAUGGCUUUUGUGUAAAGUCAAACUUAAGCAAUGCAGUUAUGGCCUCAACAACAAUAACAACAACAAAGGUAGGAACAAUCAAGAUCUACAUUAUUUAAGCAUCCAGUUGUAGGCAAGAUAUCCAGAGUCUAGUGCUAGGUACAGAGUUAUCGUGCAAGGGGUACCAUUUAGAGGCUGAAGGCCACUUACUUAUACAAAGCUGCACUAUACUGAAGCCUUUUAGACCUGCAUUUGCUAAAUCAUCUUAAAACGGACCUUUAAGCUUUGCUGUUUCAUGGCAGAACUUUCAGCAAGCUGCAUUCUCAACUAUCUUCUACUUUUGCUUUCAUACAUUAAAAAUGGAUACUUGAUUUGAACAAGGCCAUUAUCUGUAGGUCUACAAAAAGCCAUCUUAUUCAGGAGCACUUAAUGCUUUUAGACAAUUGCAUGUACUGGGAAGGGAGGGGUUGCUGGUUCCUGAUAUCAAGACUACAUCCCGAUCUUUCUCCUGCAUUCAAAACCUAAUGUUACCCUACCCAGGAUUAUCAGGGUCUUCUUCUGAGCAUCAAAACAAGGAACUAGUGAGACUUGCAGGCAAAUAAGCCAAAUCUGAAAGGAGGCAAGGCUCCAUUCUCCAUGUCAGUCUGUACUUGUAUCUAUUCUGCUUUACAAUGGACCUCUUUUGGCACAGGGAGAUUCACUGCGCCGAACUUUGGCACUCUGCUUCAGACAUGGAAGAAGCCUGGGAUGGGAGAUCACAGCAAGCUAGACCUUGCUCCUGGAGAAAACAGAUUGUAGGAUCAAAAGAGCUCUACAGAGGCAGCCAUGGUGCUCUGUGUCUGCAUGUUUCCAUCUGCAGGCUCUAAUUCAGCUGUGCUGGGGCUGCCAGCGACAUAGACCUGCUCACCCCAAAUGCUCUCCCUCCCUGCAGGGAGAUGGAGCUGCGGCAGCACAGGUCACUGCAGGCUCCGCAGGCGGCGGGAGACUGGGCGGUAACAAGUCUGGGUGAAAAAGGAGACUUUGGAGGAGAAAGUUCUCUGCUAAAAACACGGUAAAAAAAACAUUUUUAAUACCCACGGUUAAUUAAAGUACAAAAAUUGCUGCUUCCCAGGUUCUUUAUCACUGCAUCUGUUUCAGACUUAUAUCCUAAAGGUUCGUUUUUCCAAACAGCAUAAUUCUGGCAGAGCAUAAGGUCAGUGCACUCCCAAAUUGCAUGCUGCCUAUCCUUCCUGCAAGCUUACAGGGAUAUGCUGAUGCUCUGCGUCUCUGAAAGCAAGGCUCGCUGUGUACCUAAAGCAAAUGUGCAGAGCAUGAAUAUUACAAUCCACAGAGAACUAAAAAAUCCGCCCGCAUUCAAAGUAAAAUAAACUCUGAAUUUUCAAAAUUUCCCGAGGUAAACUCUUUUUGAUCAACUAGAACUUUGGCUUCAUUUCAGUUUAUGCAUUUAUUUUAUAUUACAAUGCAAAAUAUGAACUAGAUUGUGAAUAAUAGAAAAGCUUUCUUUUCCAGAUGGGAAUACCAGCACAUUUCCAUUGUUGUUGUUGUUGUUUUCUUUCUCAAACAUAUUUUAGCAAGUACAUUUUUAUGAAGCAGUUUCUCUUCAGCAGUUGCACUCAGACAGAAAAGGGGCAUGUUGAUUUUUUAAAGUAGAAAUCAUGUAGCCGUGUAAUUUUCACUUUUAAAAGGUCUGUACCGCUAUUUACAAAAGUGCAGGUAUGUCUGUAUAGUAAUUCCCAGUGGAAGUGUUCACUCAUGUUAAAAAGACCUAACUCUGGCUCAGACUAGACUGAUUAAGUUUUCAGCUUUGUAUGUAUUUGUGUACUUACACACGUUCUGAAAUAAGUAACAGUCACGAUGGAGGAUAAAGCACUAAUGAAAUGACAAAGUCAAGAAAAUCAUCACCUCUGCGGAGAUGCUAUAAAGGGAACGUCCGCUCAUUACAUCUCACAAGAAAAGAACCGAAGGCAUGAAGUGGUCAAAUGGUUGGAGAUGAGA